rnacentral:rRNA from 1 species
CCUACGGGGGGCAGCAGUGAGGAAUAUUGGUCAAUGGGCGCGAGCCUGAACCAGCCAAGUCGCGUGAGGGAAGACGGUCCUAUGGGUUGUAAACCUCUUUUGUCGGGGAGCAAAAGACGCCACGCGUGGCGUUCCGAGAGUACCCGAAGAAAAAGCAUCGGCUAACUCCGUGCCAGCAGCCGCGGUAAUACGGAGGAUGCGAGCGUUAUCCGGAUUUAUUGGGUUUAAAGGGUGCGUAGGCGGAAUAUCAAGUCAGCGGUAAAAAUUCGGGGCUCAACCCCGUCGUGCCGUUGAAACUGAUGUUC